rnacentral:rRNA from 1 species
AUGUCGUUCGCUGGCGUAUCCGUCGUUGCCGGCGGUGGCGGCCGCGGCAGGCCGUCCGCGGAGUCGGACAUGAUCUACUCCGGCUCCAUCGCGGCCAGCAGAGGCAGCUGCUACUAUCACCUGCUUGUGGUGGAAGGCUACUCCCGCAUCAAGGACCUGCCCAAUGGAGGCACAAUCAUGGGCCGCACUUUCAAAGCUGGGGGCUAUCGAUGGGUUCUGAGGUUCCAUCCCAAUGGUUAUUCCCCGGAGGACGUCGGUUCCAUCUCGGUUUAUCUUGUGCUUGACCAGGAUGUUGCGCGGCCCGUGAAGGUGCAUCUCCAGUUUAGCUUGGUUGAUGAGAUUGGCAAGCAAGAUCAAGCAUUCAUCCGUGCAAUCAAAGCAUGCGACUUCUCUGGCAGCGGCUCUACUUGGGGCCACAGUUGUUUCAUAAAAGGCGAGGACCUUGAGAACUCAGAGCAUCUCAAGGAUGAUUGUUUCACCAUCCGGUGCGAUUUCAUCAUAGCUGAAGAUGAUGCUGCUGCUCCCUUGGUAAAGGUGCCGUCAUCUAACAAGCGAGCAUCUGAGCCAUCUGUUAUUGACCAAGGUUGGCGCCGAUGUGACGUUCCAGGUCGGCCAUGA